GUGUCAGCCGCCGCGCGGUAGUACGAAGGGACCUAGCGUAGUUCGGAAUUACUGGGCUUAAAGAGUUCGUAGGUGGUUAAAAAAGUUGGUGGUGAAAUCCCAGAGCUUAACUCUGGAACUGCCAUCAAAACUUUUUAGCUAGAGUAUGAUAGAGGAAAGCAGAAUUUCUAGUGUAGAGGUGAAAUUCGUAGAUAUUAGAAAGAAUACCAAUUGCGAAGGCAGCUUUCUGGAUCAUUACUGACGCUGAGGAACGAAAGCAUGGGUAGCGAAGAGGAUUAGAUACCCUCGUAGUCCAUGCCGUAAACGAUGUGUGUUAGACGUUGGAAAUUUAUUUUCAGUGUCGCAGCGAAAGCGAUAAACACACCGCCUGGGGAGUACGACCGCAAGGUUAAAACUCAAAUGAAUUGACGGGGACCCGCACAAGUAGUGGAGCAUGUGGUUUAAUUCGAAGAUACGCGCAGAACCUUACCAACACUUGACAUGUUCGUCGCGACUUUAAGAGAUUAAAGUUUUCGGUUCGGCCGGGCGAAACACAGGUGCUGCAUGGCUGUCGUCAGCUCGUGUCGUGAGAUGUUGGGUUAAGUCCCGCAACGAGCGCAACCCUCACUUUUAGUUGCCAUCAUUAAGUUGGGCACUCUGAAAGAACUGCCAGUGAUAAGCUGGAGGAAGGUGGGGAUGACGUCAAGUCCUCAUGGCCCUUACGUGUUGGGCUACACACGUGCUACAAUGGUAUCUACAACAGGAAGCAAAACCGCGAGGUUAAGCAAAUCCUUAAAAGAUACCUCAGUUCGGAUUGCACUCUGCAACUCGAGUGCAUGAAGCUGGAAUUACUAGUAAUCGUGGAUCAGCGUGCCACGGUGAAUGCGUUCCCGGGUCUUGCACACACCGCCCGUCAAUCCAUAUG
rnacentral:rRNA from 1 species